rnacentral:rRNA from 1 species
GGGUACCUGCGGAGGGAUCAUUACCGAGUUUACAACUCCCAAACCCCUGUGAACAUACCUAUACGUUGCCUCGGCGGAUCAGCCCGCGCCCCGUAAAAAGGGACGGCCCGCCCGAGGACCCCUAAACUCUGUUUUUAGUGGAACUUCUGAGUAAAACAAACAAAUAAAUCAAAACUUUCAACAACGGAUCUCUUGGUUCUGGCAUCGAUGAAGAACGCAGCAAAAUGCGAUAAGUAAUGUGAAUUGCAGAAUUCAGUGAAUCAUCGAAUCUUUGAACGCACAUUGCGCCCGCCAGUAUUCUGGCGGGCAUGCCUGUUCGAGCGUCAUUUCAACCCUCAAGCUCAGCUUGGUGUUGGGACUCGCGGUAACCCGCGUUCCCCAAAUCGAUUGGCGGUCACGUCGAGCUUCCAUAGCGUAGUAAUCAUACACCUCGUUACUGGUAAUCGUCGCGGCCACGCCGUAAAACCCCAACUUCUGAAUGUGACCUCGAUCAGGUAGAAUCCCCGCCCCC